rnacentral:rRNA from 1 species
UACGGAGGGUGCAAGCGUUAUCCGGAUUCCCUGGGUUUAAAGGGUGCGUAGGUGGGCAGGUAAGUCAGUGGUGAAAUCUCCGGGCUUAACCCGGAAACUGCCGUUGAUACUAUUUGUCUUGAAUAUAGUGGAGGUGAGCGGAAUAUGUCAUGUAGCGGUGAAAUGCUUAGAUAUGACAUAGAACAUCGAUUGCGAAGGCAGCUCGCUACACUAUUAUUGACACUGAGGCACGAAAGCGUGGGGAUCAAACAGG